rnacentral:rRNA from 1 species
AGAGUUUGAUCAUGGCUCAGGAUGAACGCUAGCGGGAGGCCUAACACAUGCAAGCCGAGCGGUAGAUUACUUUCGGGUAAUUGAGAGCGGCGUACGGGUGCGGAACACGUGUGCAACCUGCCUUUAUCAGGGGGAUAGCCUUUCGAAAGGAAGAUUAAUACCCCAUAAUAUAUUAUUCGGCAUCGGGUGAUAUUGAAAACUACGGUGGAUAGAGAUGGGCACGCGCAAGAUUAGCUAGUUGGUGAGGUAACGGCUCACCAAGGCGACGAUCUUUAGGGGGCCUGAGAGGGUGAUCCCCCACACUGGUACUGAGACACGGACCAGACUCCUACGGGAGGCAGCAGUGAGGAAUAUUGGACAAUGGGUGGAAGCCUGAUCCAGCCAUCCCGCGUGCAGGAAGACGGCCCUAUGGGUUGUAAACUGCUUUUAUCUGGGGAUAAACCUACUUACGUGUAAGUAGCUGAAGGUACCAGAAGAAUAAGCACCGGCUAACUCCGUGCCAGCAGCCGCGGUAAUACGGAGGGUGCAAGCGUUAUCCGGAUUUAUUGGGUUUAAAGGGUCCGUAGGCGGACUGAUAAGUCAGUGGUGAAAUCCGACAGCUUAACUGUCGAACUGCCAUUGAUACUGUUAGUCUUGAGUAAGGUUGAAGUGGCUGGAAUAAGUAGUGUAGCGGUGAAAUGCAUAGAUAUUACUUAGAACACCAAUUGCGAAGGCAGGUCACUA